GCCGGGCCGCUGGGUUCCGCUGGCUGCGUGCAGUCCGCUCGUCCUCCCCGGGGAUUCAGCGAGUAGGUGGCGAGUGCGUGGUCAGCUCUCCAACCGCCGGCGGCUGCGAGCCAGGACUUUAGCGCAGUCCGCCGUGCACUCUGUCCCAGAGUUAGAAUUUGGAUGUGAAAUCACUUUUCUAACCCACCUCACAGAAGACUGUUGACAUACAAAUUGGGAUCUUUCCAGUUGCCUGACUUGCAGAACGCUUCAGGUUCAAAGAAUUCCCUUUUGUAAAAACUUCGACAAGAUGGCUACUAGAAGUGCCUAACGUACUUCCCUCUCAAGAUAAAAGGACCAAAACAAAGAAUAAGCAACUGAUAUUCAUUGCUGUGUUCAAGGGAGAGUGUUGGAGUGCAGUGUGAGUGUGGUAGAGACACUGCAGAGCACAGAGACUCAGGAAAGCUUUGUAGAGAAGGGAGCAAAGCACUCAGUAUCUCCUGCCCUAUCGCCCUAGUCAAGAUCAACUAGGAACUAAAAGGGACUUCUUGUUCUGGGGAAAGAAUAAGCAAGAAACCUUCAGCAGUACCAUUGACACCUUCGAUACCUGAAUUUUACCACAGAGGAAUUCUAUAACCCUCACGGGCCCUGAGCCGAAUUAAGUGAGUGACCAAGGGUGGCCACACUGCUGAAUUACACAGGGGGAGAAGUCCAAUCUUUGUUGUACCAUCCCCACACAGAUUGUGGCAAGGCUAUCCAGUGACCAUAUCCACCUGCGUUGUUCAGGAGCAGCUGAGCAAACACCCUCUCCCAAAACCACUAGCACCAAGAGCUAUUGAAGCAGCCUUACUUCCCCCACAUACUUGUAUGUCCUGUGGAAGUGGCAAAGGGAGCAAUCCUUCCCACAACUCAGUUUCAGAGAGGGCCUGACCCUCUGCAUCUUCAAGAAUCAGGUUGGGAGAGUGAAUGUAGACACAACUGUGCUACCUGAGAAGCCCUACCUGUCACGUUCUAAGAACAGCCAGUGAGGCCACUGCAUUACUUCUAGUAAUCACUGAUACUGAUUAUAGGUGAGGACACUACUAUACCACUGUGCCUAGCUAGACCCAAAGCCAACAUAGUUUAUACAACUGGCAUUCUAGGACACAACUACUGGAGAAAGUCUUUUCACCUGGAAAACCAUCCUAUAAAACUGAUACAACUACUCACCAGAUUAGCAAAUAUUAAUAUAGGGAUACCAGAUACCUGAAAAAACAAGUAAGCAUGACAUUCCCAAAGCAAUACAAUAAUACUCCAACAACAUACCCCACAAUGAAGGAAAUCUGUGAAAUGUCUAAAAAGGAAUUCUAUAUUUUUAUUAUAAGGAAACUCAAUGACAUACAAGAGAGUAGCGAUAGGCAGUUCAACGAAUUAAUGGAAUUUCUACGUGAUCUGAAAGCUUCGGUCCACGAAGUAGCAGAGGUCUUUAAAAAGGGCCAAGGAGAAAUCUUGGAGCAGAAGGAGCCAAAGAAAGAAAUACCAUCUACAAUUGGAAGCUUUAACAGUGGACUUUAUCAAGCAGAAGAAAGAAUUCCCAAACUUGAAGACAGCUCAUUUGAAAUAAUAAAGUCAGAGAGAAAAACAGAAAAAAGAAUAAAAAAGAAUGAACACUUCAGGUGCUUUAAUGAUAAAGUUUUCGAAGCAGAGGAAAGAAUUUCUAAACUUGAAGACAAGUCAUUUGAAAUAAUCCAGUCCGAGAGAAAAACAGAAAAAAGAAUACAGGACAUAUGGGACAGUAUUAAACGAACAAAUAUUCGUGUUAUGGGAGUUCCAGAAGGAGAAGAGACAGGAAAAGACAUAGAAAAGUUAUUUCACGAUAUAAUAGCUGAAAACUUCCCAAGUCUCCGGAGAGAGAUGGACAUCCAGAUUCAGGAAGCUCAAAGGUCCCCAAAAAGAUUGAACCCAAAAAGACCCUCUCCAAGGCACAUUAUAGUGAAACUAUCAAAGUGUAAAGACAAGGAGAAAGUUCUAAAAGCAGCAAGAGAAAAGGGACAAGUCACAUAUAAGGGAAUUCUCAUUAGACUAACAGCAGAUUUUUCUCUAGAAACCUUACAAGCUAGAAGAGAAUGGCAUGAUAUAUUCAAAGUAUUGAAAGAAAAAAACUGCCAGCCAAGAAUACUU